UAUAUAUAUAUAUACACACACACAACAUGUUUUGUCUCUGAAUCAAUUUGGGUUACUAUCAGCCAUUUGAACCCUUAUUAUUAUAUUGUAAUUCUUGAUGUCACUAUCUAUAUGUUUGUUCUUGCUAUUCCUUUUUACACAACAUCAGCUAUUUCUUUCACUUUCACAAAAUUAGAAUUGACUUUGGCUUUUGGCUGAAUAAGCUUUCUAUUUGUGAAUUGUGUUAGUUUGCACUUUCUGCAUACUGUCUG
rnacentral:misc_RNA from 1 species